UUUCUACAAAAAGAAACAAAUAGAAAAAAUUAGCCAGGCGUGGUAGCACGUGCCUGUAGCCCCAACUCUCAGAAAGCUGAGGCAGGAAGAUUGCUUGAACCCAGGACUUCAAGGCUGCACUGAGCUGCGAUAGCAGGUUGCAGUGAGCCAAGAUCACGCCACUGCACUCACAGCCUGGGCAACAAGAACGAAACUCCUCAGAAAAAGAAAAAGAAAAAGAAAAACCAAAAAUC
rnacentral:lncRNA from 10 species